rnacentral:rRNA from 1 species
UACGAAGGUCCCGAGCGUUGUUCGGAAUCACUGGGCGUAAAGGGUUCGUAGGCGGUGCGGCAAGUUGGAAGUGAAAUCUCUGGGCUUAACCCAGAGGCUGCUUUCAAAACUGCCGUGCUCGAGUGCGAGAGAGGCCAGUGGAAUUGCAGGUGUAGCGGUGAAAUGCGUAGAUAUCUGCAGGAACACCCGUGGCGAAGGCGGCUGGCUGGAUCGCAACUGACGCUGAGGAACGAAAGCUAGGGGAGCAAACAGG